rnacentral:rRNA from 1 species
GGUCCUAAGAGUGGAUUUAGGAUCUAGCCUGCCCAAUGAAAAUUUUGAAUGGCCGCGGUAUAUUGACCGUGCAAAGGUAGCAUAAUAAUUAGUCCUUUAAUUGAGGUCUGGUAUGAAUGGUUGGACGAGAAGGUGACUGUCUUUAGUGAUUAUUAAUCAGAAUUUUAUUUUUAAGUGAAAAAGCUUAAAUUGUCUUGAGGGACGAUAAGACCCUAUAGAUCUUUAUAUUUUUAGUUGGGGAGUGAUAAUGUAUUAUUGAGGUCAAUUGAAGGUAUUUUGUUGGGGUGAUGGGGAGAUAUAGGAAACUCUCUUAAGAGAUAAGGAGUUAUAUAUUGAUAUUAUUUAAUGAUCCGUUAGUUGCGAUAGGUGGAUUAAGUUACCUUAGGGAUAACAGCGUAAUUUUUCUUGAGAGUUCAUAUCGACAGGAAAGUUUGCGACCUCGAUGUUGGAUUAAGAGUUUCUUAGUGGUGGAGAGGCUACUAAAAGAGGGUCUGUUCGACCUUUAAUUUCUUACA